GACGAACGCUGGCGGCGUGCCUAAUACAUGCAAGUAGAACGCUGAAGGAGGAGCUUGCUUCUCUGGAUGAGUUGCGAACGGGUGAGUAACGCGUAGGUAACCUGCCUGGUAGCGGGGGAUAACUAUUGGAAACGAUAGCUAAUACCGCAUAAUAGUAGAUGUCGCAUGACAUUUGCUUAAAAGGUGCAAUUGCAUCACUACCAGAUGGACCUGCGUUGUAUUAGCUAGUUGGUGAGGUAACGGCUCACCAAGGCGACGAUACAUAGCCGACCUGAGAGGGUGAUCGGCCACACUGGGACUGAGACACGGCCCAGACUCCUACGGGAGGCAGCAGUAGGGAAUCUUCGGCAAUGGACGGAAGUCUGACCGAGCAACGCCGCGUGAGUGAAGAAGGUUUUCGGAUCGUAAAGCUCUGUUGUAAGAGAAGAACGAGUGUGAGAGUGGAAAGUUCACACUGUGACG
rnacentral:rRNA from 1 species